CAUGUACUCCCUUCGUUCAGAAUUACUCGUUUAAGAAAUGAAUAUAUCUAGAUGUAUUUUAGUUUAUAGAUACAUUCAUUUUUAUCCAUUUUUGUGACAAGUAAUUCCGAACGGAUGGAGUAGUCA
rfam:Triticum aestivum genome assembly, contig: Triticum_aestivum_CS42_TGACv1_scaffold_271986_3DS